rnacentral:rRNA from 1 species
CGGUAAUUCCAGCUCCAAUAGCGUAUACUAAAGUUGUUGCAGUUAAAAAGCUCGUAGUUGGAUUUCUGCGGGGACGGAGCGGCCGGUCGCAACUUGCGACUCGAGCUAGCGCUUUCCCCGCAUCCUGCCGCGAACCGUGCUACCAUUAGUUUGGUGGCGCUGGGGAUCGGCUCGAUUACUUUGAGAAAAAUAGAGUGUUCAAAGCAGGCCACACGCCUUGAAUAAGUUAGCAUGGAAUAAUGACUAAGGACUUUGGUUCUUUUCGUUGGUGUUCGGGACUGAAGUAAUGAUUGAUAGGGACAGUUGGGGCGGUCCGUAUUCCAAAGCGAGAGGUGAAAUUCUUAGACCUUCGGAAGACGAACAGCUGCGAAAGCGUUCCGCAAGGAUGUUCCCUUUGAUCAAGAACGAAAGUUGGGGGAUCGAAGACGAUCAGAUACCGUCGUAGUCUCAACUAUAAACUAUACCAGCUAGGGAUCGGCCAACGUUUAAUCAUUCGACUUGGUCGGCACCUUAUGAGAAAUCAAAGCAUCUGGGUUCCGGGGGGAGUAUGGUCGCAAGGCUGAAACUUAAAGGAAUUGACGGAAGGGCACCACCAGCCGUGGAGCCUGUGGCUUAAUUUGACUCAACACGGGAAAACUUACCAGGUCCGGACAUAGUAAGGAUUGACAGAUUGAUAGCUCUUUCUUGAUUCUGUGGGUGGUGGUGCAUGGCCGUUUUUAGUCGGUGGAUGUGAUCUGUCUGCUUAAUUGCGUUAACGGACGAGACCCCAGCCUGCUAAAUAGCGCGGCCGAGCUUUGCUCGGUGCGAGCUUCUUAGAGGGACCAUGAUGCGCGAUAGCACAAGGAAGUUUGGGGCAACAACAGGUCUGUGAUGCCCUUAGAUGUUCUGGGCCGCACACGGGCUACACUGGCGCCUGCAACGAGCAUAUCAGCUGGCCCGAGGGGGUCUUGGCUAAUCUUUGGAACCGGCGCCGUGCUUGGGAUUGACCAUUGCAAUUGUUGGUCAUGCAACGAGGAAUGCCUUGUAAACGCGAGUCAUCAGCUCGCAUUGAAUACGUCCCUGCCCUUUGUACACACCGCCCGUCGCUCCUACCGAUGAAUGUUCCGAUGAAAUUUUCGGAGAGCGCCGGAGAACGGGGCUCCGCCCUGCAGAACUGGAGGCUCAAAGUCACUUAAAUCUGAACAUUUCGAGGAAGGAGAAGUCGUAACAAGGUAGCCG